GACGAACGCUGGCGGCGUGCUUAACACAUGCAAGUCGAACGGCAAGGCCCUGCUUGCGUGCGGUGCCCGAGUGGCGAACGGGUGAGUAACACGUGAGUAACCUGCCCUAGACUUUGGGAUAACUUCAGGAAACUGGGCCUAAUACCGGAUAGGAGCUCCCGCUGCAUGGUGGGGGUGGGAAAGUCUCGGCGGGUGGGGAUGGACUCGCGGCUUAUCAGCUUGUUGGUGGGGUAGUGGCUGACCAAGGCUUUGGCGGGUAGCCGGCCUGAGAGGGUGACCGGCCACAUUGGGACUGAGAUACGGCCCAGACUCCUACGUGAGGCAGCAGUGGGGAAUAUUGCCCAAUGGGCGGAAGCCUGAUGCAGCAACGCCGCGUGCGGGAUGACGGCCUUCGGGUUGUAAACCGCUUUCGCCUGUGACGAAGCGUGAGUGACGGUAAUGGGUAAAGAAGCACCGGCUAACUACGUG
rnacentral:rRNA from 1 species